AAUGCAUGAUGCUAGAAUUUUCUAAGAUGUUACUUAAAUCUUUCCCAAGUCUCAUAAUUGGAUUAUCCUCUAAAGAGAGUAAAAUAAGAUAUGUCAUUUCUAAGUUU